AGUGAACGCGGGCGGUAGGCCUAACACAUGCAAGUCGAACGGCAGCACAGUAAGAGCUUGCUCUUACGGGUGGCGAGUGGCGGACGGGUGAGGAAUACAUCGGAAUCUACUUUUUCGUGGGGGAUAACGUAGGGAAACUUACGCUAAUACCGCAUACGACCUACGGGUGAAAGCAGGGGAUCUUCGGACCUUGCGCGAUUGAAUGAGCCGAUGUCGGAUUAGCUAGUUGGCGGGGUAAAGGCCCACCAAGGCGACGAUCGGUAGCUGGUCUGAGAGGAUGAUCAGCCACACUGGAACUGAGACACGGUCCAGACUCCUACGGGAGGCAGCAGUGGGGAAUAUUGGACAAUGGGCGCAAGCCUGAUCCAGCCAUACCGCGUGGGUGAAGAAGGCCUUCGGGUUGUAAAGCCCUUUUGUUGGGAAAGAAAAGCAGCAGGUUAAUACCCCGCUGUUCUGACGGUACCCAAAGAAUAAGCACCGGCUAACUUCGUG
rnacentral:rRNA from 1 species